ACUCAAAGGAAUUGACGGGGGCCCGCACAAGCAGCGGAGCAUGUGGUUUAAUUCGACGCAACGCGAAGAACCUUACCAAGGCUUGACAUGUACGGGAAUGUCGUGGAAACAUGGCAGCCCUUCGGGGCUCGUGCACAGGUGGUGCAUGGCUGUCGUCAGCUCGUGUCGUGAGAUGUUGGGUUAAGUCCCGCAACGAGCGCAACCCCCGUUCCUAGUUGCCAGCGGGUAAGCCGGGGACUCUAGGAAGACUGCCGGUGACAAAUCGGAGGAAGGUGGGGAUGACGUCAAGUCAUCAUGCCCCUUAUGUCUUGGGCUACACACGUGCUACAUUGGACGGUACAAAGGGCUGCUAACCCGUGAGGGGGAGCGAAUCCCAAAAAGCCGUUCCCGGUUCGGAUUGGAGGCUGAAACUCGCCUCCAUGAAGUCGGAGUUGCUAGUAAUCGCGGAUCAGCAACGCCGCGGUGAAUACGUUCCCGGGCCUUGCACACACCGCCCGU
rnacentral:rRNA from 1 species